UACAGAGGUCUCAAGCGUUGUUCGGAUUCAUUGGGCGUAAAGGGUGUGUAGGUGGCGCGCUAAGUCGGGUGUGAAAUUUCGGAGCUUAACUCCGAAACUGCAUUCGAUACUGGCGUGCUUGAGGACUGGAGAGGAGACUGGAAUUCAUGGUGUAGCAGUGAAAUGCGUAGAGAUCAUGAGGAAGACCAGUGGCGAAGGCGGGUCUCUGGACAGUUCCUGACACCGAGACACGAAGGCCAGGGGAGCAAACGGG
rnacentral:rRNA from 1 species